GCGGGAGUAGCUCAGUUGGUAGAGCAUCAGCCUUCCAAGCUGAGGGUCGCGAGUUCGAGACUCGUCUCCCGCU
rnacentral:tRNA from 1 species